GCAAACUUGGUCAUUUAGAGGAAGUAAAAGUCGUAACAAGGUUUCCGUAGGUGAACCUGCGGAAGGAUCAUUACGGCGCCGUGUGAGAAGCCCGGGCUCUCGUUCGAGCCAUCGGGUUUCCGCGUUUGGCCCAACCGUGUCUACUAAACCUCGUUGCCUUGGCGGGAUAUGUCGGAGUCGACCGCCGAAGGCGUCACGCCCGUCAAGGAUAUCUGAAAUUCGAAAGCUUGCAGAUGAUCGUCUGAAUGUUCCAGUGAGAAAUCAGUUAAAACUUUCAACAACGGAUCUCUUGGUUCCGGCAUCGAUGAAGAACGCAGC
rnacentral:misc_RNA from 1 species